ACCUGGCUGGCUCAGUCCGUACAGCAUGUGACUCUUAAUCUCGGGGUUAUGAGUUCGAGCCUCAUGUUGGGUG
rnacentral:tRNA from 1 species